rnacentral:rRNA from 1 species
GAUAAACGCUGGCGGCGUGCUUAACACAUGCAAGUCGAACGGAAAGGCUCCUGCUUGCAGGGGUACUCGAGUGGCGAACGGGUGAGUAACACGUGGGUGAUCUGCCCUGCACUUCGGGAUAAGCCUGGGAAACUGGGUCUAAUACCGGAUAGGACGAUGGUUUGGAUGCCAUUGUGGAAAGUUUUUCGGUGUGGGAUGAGCUCGCGGCCUAUCAGCUUGUUGGUGGGGUAAUGGCCUACCAAGGCGUCGACGGGUAGCCGGCCUGAGAGGGUGUACGGCCACAUUGGGACUGAGAUACGGCCCAGACUCCUACGGGAGGCAGCAGUGGGGAAUAUUGCACAAUGGGCGCAAGCCUGAUGCAGCGACGCCGCGUGGGGGAUGACGGCCUUCGGGUUGUAAACUCCUUUCGCUAGGGACGAAGCGCAAGUGACGGUACCUGGAGAAGAAGCACCGGCUAACUACGUG